rnacentral:rRNA from 1 species
UGUGUAGGCGGCUUUUUAAGUUUGGUGUGAAAUCUCCCGGCUCAACUGGGAGGGUGCGCCGAAAACUGAAAGGCUAGAGUGCGGGAGAGGAGAGUGGAAUUCCUGGUGUAGCGGUGAAAUGCGUAGAUAUCAGGAGGAACACCGGUGGUGUAGACGGCUCUCUGGACCGUAACUGACGCUGAGACACGAAGGCGUGGGUAGCAAACAGGAUUAGAUACCCUGGUAGUCCACGCCCUAAACGAUGCAUAUUUGGUGUGGGUCAUUCAGUUGAUCCGUGCCGGAGCUAACGCGUUAAAUAUGCCGCCUGGGGAGUACAGUCGCAAGGCUGAA